ensembl:lincRNA Mir9-3hg Mir9-3 host gene
AGCGGCGCUUGGAGGGCGGCCGGAGCUGGGCCUGAGCCUGGGGACUCGCCUGAUCCCGGGCGGCCAUCACCAUCACCACAACCGCCCCACCCCCGCCGUCGCCUCGUGGGGCCCCGGCCCCCUCCCGGGUCCGAUGUGUUCCAGGGUGGGCCAGAAGAAGAGAAAAGAGAAAAGACAGCUUGAUGGUGACUAAAUUGUCCCUUGAAGGGAAGUGAUGGCACAGGCUCUGAUCAGCUCUUCUGGGAACAGACAGAGAAGUGGGAAUUCCUGCCAAAGCCACAGGAUGAAUACAGCGCCAAGAACCUGAACCAGAAAAAUGCAGCAGGAAAGGAAACUGCAGUAGCCACCAUCCUGAGGCUGCUGUACAAGGAGCAUUCCUGAGACAGGGGACGUGCUCCCCAGCCCUCCUUGAGGCCUCUGCCACUGCCCUGCUUGUCUAGAAUCUCCUCCAUUCUGCUUGUGCCACAUCUUUCAGGCCUGCUCUGGGUCUGAUGUGCUGUAGAACACUUUGCUCAGGCGCUUGGGAGAUAGAGACUUCAUUACCAUCGUUUCCACCCCAAAGAACUAGGCAGCACACUGGGAAGUUGCCAAAGGAAGGGACUCCAGCCUCCCAGGAGUUAACACCAUUUCUCCCCAGCUGUCCUCCCCUUGGUGCUCCUUUUCCUCCCUCCUCCUGCUCACAGCAGGCAGGGCCUGGAACCAGGAGCCAUGCUGCUGUGCUGUUGCCAGGGGAGCUGGGAGGCAGAUCGGAGCUAUGCAGGGGAAAGGCUCGGCCUGUCAGAGUGUCUGAGAUGAACCACCGCCAUCCCCGUGCAGCUGGGCUCCAUGUGUCUCAGGGCUCUUGUUCUGUGCCUGAGAACGGUGAAGCCCAGUGAGGUUCAAGGGCACACUCGCUAUUCAUCAGUCGGGGGUUCUUGAUGGUCCUGCCUCUCCCAAGGAUGGGUUCCCCCCUUCCUCUUUCUCUCCUUCCUAGGACACAUUCCUGGGUGCCUGUGGUGAGGACUGCACACCCCCUCCUCCCCAGCCCCCCCAAACCCUGAAUCAACUCCUAUUAAGGAGGCCAGGCGGGACAGGGACAAUGGCUUCAAGAAAUCAUUCAGGCGGGACCCCAGCCACAUUCGCAUGCCCGUCACUCCCAGAGCCCCUAUAGAUCCCACUCUGCUGUGAUUCAGGGACCCUUGGACCCCCAGCUUGCACAUGCCUAGACAGGAGCAGGUCACUAGGUGCUGCCCUGCACAACAGGCCAGUGCAGUGUUAUUCUCAGGGGCCCUGGUGCCUCCAUCCCACUGGCUGGAUACUUUGUGCAGUUGGUUGGAAAGCAGAAAUUACAAUAUUUUCUGAAAUGUGGUAAUAUCAAAAUAUAAGAGGCACAUAUACAUGAUAACUAAUUUCACUUUAGAUAUACUGGGAAAGUUUGCUAAGAAACAUGGACAAAGACCUGUGGUUGAGUAAUGAGUCAUUUCAUUCUAUGGAAUACUACACACCUGUAAGACUGUGGUCAAUCUACCUCUGCGUGUGGGCUGAUAGGGAAGGUUGCUAAUAUACUUAAGUGAAUAGAAUAAAGUACAAAACAGUCAAGUGUGUUCUUGUUUGUAUAUACUUAAAGAUCACUUACGGCGUCAGGGGUGUGUGAAGCUCAGUGGUAAAAUACACACAGCAUACAGGAGGCCUAGAGCCAAGAAACCCUGUGUCAGCCAUAAGUAUGUCUGCAUGGAUGGUUGGGAAGCAAGCGCUGCACAGCCUCAGGAAGCAGGAGGCCUUUCCUCCUGUGUGUUUGUGUUUGUUCUCUCUGCGUUUGUAAAGCACUUUUAUUUGAAAAGGAAAGGAUAGUCAUCACUUAAUAGGUGUAACUUCUCUCAGCCAAUGAAGGGCAUGCACUCUGAGACAAGGUGGUGAUGUGGCAGAGAAGUGUCUUGUCAGUACUGGUGGCCUCUGGCCACUGGCGGUUCUCCAACCACAUGUCAUCAUCAUGGCUGCCACUGUUAAUCAAAAGCCCACUUGGUUCCAGGGUUGGUUCUCUGGUUCCUGCUUAGGUGAGUGUCAAAUUAUUUCAGUCUAACCUAUGCAGUAGGCUGAAUGGGGAAAUCAAUGGGUUUCUCCAAGCUGUUUGGGUCAAGUCAGUAUCCUAGAGUGGGUAAGGCAAGUGUGGGCUCUGAUUUCUCUCUGGGAGAACCUGUUUUGAGGAGGGAAUGUGUGGGCUGUGUUGAUUAUGUGUGGGCACUCCUACUUGCUUUAGCCCAGUGGAGGUGCCCUGCUGGGACAGGCUGGCUUCAGGAGUUGACUGUCUCUGAACCACUCUAUCUGCAUACACACAGCAAGUACCCAGAGACACCAUCGGACUUUGCUGCUCCCAGUGCUAAUCAAAAGCCUGGCUUUGCCCUCAAAGGCAUAAAUUGCUGAGGGCAUCUGGAAAGGGCAAUGUGGAGCUGAACACUGAGUCUUGGAGCCAACAUCCUGCGGAGCUCUGUCUGCCUUGGGCCCUGAGGCCUGGGAGUGGGCAGGGAAAGAUCAGCAGUAGAGUUGACCAGAAGAAACUGGGAGACCUGUGGAAGUCCCUGGGCUUGGAUGACAGCUUUGAAAGUCAGAAGGAAAGCAACCAGGGGUGGGGCUACUGGUACACUCAUCUUACAGGUGACAUUGAAGUUCAGAAAUGUUGCUGCAUGUCCCAGGUCACAGUUUAAAAGUGCUAGAACUGAGAUUUAAUACCUACCCCAUUAGUUGCAGUCUGGAUUCUUAACCCCAAAUAUAUCCUUUUUGGCUGAGCCACUUAAAAGAGGCCUCCUAAGCCCCAACCCCUCCUAGCCAGUCCCAUACAUAGAGACAUUAACUUCUGCCUUCAAGGUCCCCCCAAUAUCUUGCCUGGGAUCUUCCCUACUUCCACCUAAUUUCAUCUGUGAGGUAUACUAAGCUUUGGAACCUGGACCUUGAGCUGGAGAAGAAAUUCAAAGCCAUAUACAGACUGGGGCCUUCAGUUAGCAUUGCUGUUAGCACUACGCUAUUUGCUUCCUGAGUCUGGUCAUCUGCAUUCUGCAGAUGCAGAUGCGCUCUCUUUCUUCAGGUCCUUGACCCGAAAGCCAGAUGGGAAGGUCAAGGAUGCUCCAGGGCCUAGCCCCUUGCUUCUCAGAAGUGGAUCUGCUGAGGGCUGCAGCAAGCCUAAGGCAUGGGAGAGCAAAAGGAACAGCCAGGCUUAGAAAUCAAAUCGUUGGAACUCUUACUUCAGGAUAACCCUGAGGGAUGGAUAAGCCAAAUUCUGAGAGAGAGGCACUCUUCCGACCCUGGGAAACCUUUGCCUCUUUUACCCCUGCUCACAGCUAAUAAAAGUUCGGGAAAAAC